rnacentral:rRNA from 1 species
UACGUAGGGGGCAAGCGUUGUCCGGAAUCAUUGGGCGUAAAGCGCGUGUAGGCGGCUCGAUAAGUCUGCUGUGAAAGUCCAGGGCUCAACCCUGGGAUGCCGGUGGAUACUGUCGAGCUUGAGUCCGGAAGAGGCGAGUGGAAUUCCUGGUGUAGCGGUGAAAAUGCGCAGGAUAUCAGGAGGAACACCUAUGGCGAAGGCAGCUCGCUGGGGACGUGACUGACGCUGAGACGCGAAAGCGUGGGGAGCAAACAGG